rnacentral:misc_RNA from 1 species
GAUGAAGAACGUAGCGAAAUGCGAUAAGUAAUGUGAAUUGCAGAAUUCAGUGAAUCAUCGAAUCUUUGAACGCACAUUGCGCCCGCCAGUAUUCUGGCGGGCAUGCCUGUCCGAGCGUCAUUGCUGCCCUCAAGCACGGCUUGUGUGUUGGGUCGCCGUCCCCCUCCGGGGGGACGGGCCCGAAAGGCAGCGGCGGCACCGGGUCCGGUCCUCGAGCGUAUGGGGCUUCGUCACCCGCGCUGUAGGGCCGGCCGGCGGUCUGCCGACAACCUAUGUAAUUUUCUUCAGGUUGACCUCGGAUCAGGUAGGGAUACCCGCUGAACUUAAGCAUAUCAAUAAGCGGAGGA